rnacentral:rRNA from 1 species
CCCGGGUAUUGCCCUAGUAACGGCGAGUGAAGCGGCAACAGCUCAAAUUUGAAAUCUGGCUCUUUUAGAGUCCGAGUUGRAAUUUGCAGAGGGCGCUUUGGCUUUGGCAGCGGUCCAAGUUCCUUGGAACAGGACGUCACAGAGGGUGAGAAUCCCGUACGUGGUCGCUGGCUAUUGCCGUGUAAAGCCCCUUCGACGAGUCGAGUUGUUUGGGAAUGCAGCUCUAAAUGGGAGGUACAUUUCUUCUAAAGCUAAAUAUUGGCCAGAGACCGAUAGCGCACAAGUAGAGUGAUCGAAAGAUGAAAAGCACUUUGGAAAGAGAGUCAAACAGCACGUGAAAUUGUUGAAAGGGAAGCGCUUGCAGCCAGACUUGCUUACAGUUGCUCAUCCGGGUUUCUACCCGGUGCACUCUUCUGUAGGCAGGCCAGCAUCAGUUUGGGCGGUAGGAUAAAGGUCUCUGUCACGUACCUCCUUUCGGGGAGGCCUUAUAGGGGAGACGACAUACUACCAGCCUGGACUGAGGUCCGCGCAUCUGCUAGGAUGCUGGCGUAAUGGCUGUAAGCGGCCCGUCUUGAAACACAAGGAC